UUCAAUAUUAUAUAUUUAUAUAUAAUAUGCACUUUUCUUUUAGUAAGACACUGUGAUUCAUUAGGAAAUGAUAUUAUUUAUAUAAUAUUAUUUGGCUAUCAAUAAAUCAAUAUUGAAGUUCAUGAUAAUAAAUAAUAUAAUUAUAUUAUGAUUGUAUAUAUUAUUUUGUGAGCGUAUUGUAUUAUGAUAUGUAGCUGCCUGAUGGGUUUUAAAGGCCAUAUUAUUGAUGUUACGGCAUCACCAUUAUUAUUAUGGAAAUGAAUAUGUGCUCGAUCAACAGUGGUUUAAUUUGGGAUACCUUUGGGACCCGUCUUGAAACACGGACCAAGGAGUCUAUCUAUUAUGCAAGUAAAUGGGCAUUAAUAAAACCUAUUUGCAUAAAUAACUUAACUGUAUAAAUGGGAUAACAAGUGUUUACUAUGUAUUUAGUACAUUCUUCCAUCCCGGGGUAUUUUCAUCAAACAUAUUUUUAAUCGAAUAUGGAAAAUAUACCAUGAGCAUAUUGGAUAUGACCCGAAAGAUGGUGAACUAUGCCUGAUCAGGUUGAAGUCAGGGGAAACCCUGAUGGAGGACCGAAGCAAUUCUGACGUGCAAAUCG
rnacentral:rRNA from 1 species